UACGUAGGGGGGCAAGCGUUGUCCGGAUUUAUUGGGCGUAAAGAGCUCGUAGGCGGCUUUGCAAGUCGAGUGUGAAAUCCCCAGGCUCAACCUGGGAACUGCAUUCGAGACUGCAUAGCUAGAGUAUGGGAGAGGGAAGUGGAAUUUCAGGUGUAGCGGUGAAAUGCGUAGAUAUCGGGAGGAACACCCGUGGCGAAAGCGGCUCUCUGGACCACUACUGACGCUGAGGCGCGAAAGCUAGGGGAGCAAACAGGG
rnacentral:rRNA from 1 species